rnacentral:rRNA from 1 species
UACGUAGGGGGCAAGCGUUGUCCGGAAUCAUUGGGCGUAAAGCGCGUGUAGGCGGCCAGAAAAGUCCGCUGUGAAAACUCGAGGCUCAACUUCGAGCUGUCGGUGGAAACUUUCUGGCUAGAGUCCGGAAGAGGAGAAUGGAAUUCCUGGUGUAGCGGUGAAAUGCGCAGAUAUCAGGAGGAACACCAAUUGCGAAGGCAGCUCGCUGGGACGUGACUGACGCUGAGACGCGAAAGCGUGGGGAGCAAACAGG